AAGGCGGAAUGACCUGUCGCGCCCUGUUUUUGGGGUGAGGAAAGUCCGGACAGGAAAGGGCACCCUGCUGUGGAAAGCACAGGUGGGAGUAAUCUUACGGAUGCCGUAACAGAAAAUUACCGCCCGCAAGGGUAAGGGUGAAAACGUGAGGCAAGAGCUCACGACGCCGGGCGGCGACGUCCGGCGGGUACGGCACCAGGGCCUGCAAGACCAAAUAUACUGGCAAUGGCCGCAAGGCCUGAGGGGUGGCCCGCCUCUGCCAGGGGGUAGGUUGCGUAGAUAAAUGGCAGGAUAAAACAGAAACCGGCUUACGGUUCCGCCUAUUGA
rnacentral:RNase_P_RNA from 1 species